UACGUAGGGUGCGAGCGUUAAUCGGAAUUACUGGGCGUAAAGCGUGCGCAGGCGGCGCGUUAAGACAGGUGUGAAAGCCCCGAGCUUAACUUGGGAAUUGCGCUUGUGACUGGCGUGCUGGAGUGUGGCAGAGGGAGGUGGAAUUCCACGUGUAGCAGUGAAAUGCGCAGAUAUCGGGAGGAACACCAAUGGCGAAGGCAGCUCGCUGGGACGGUACUGACGCUGAGGCGCGAAAGCGUGGGGAGCAAACAGG
rnacentral:rRNA from 1 species